rnacentral:rRNA from 1 species
UACGGAGGGAGCUAGCGUUGUUCGGAAUUACUGGGCGUAAAGCGCGCGUAGGCGGCUUUGUAAGUUAGAGGUGAAAGCCCGGGGCUCAACUCCGGAACUGCCUUUAAGACUGCAUCGCUUGAAUCCGGGAGAGGUGAGUGGAAUUCCGAGUGUAGAGGUGAAAUUCGUAGAUAUUCGGAAGAACACCGGUGGCGAAGGCGGCUCACUGGACCGGUAUUGACGCUGAGGUGCGAAAGCGUGGGGAGCAAACAGG